AGUGAGGAAUAUUGGACAAUGGGCGGGAGCCUGAUCCAGCCAUGCCGCGUGCAGGAAGACGGUCCUAUGGAUUGUAAACUGCUUUUGUACGGGAAGAACAAGGGGCACGUGUGCCCCUCUGACGGUACCGUAAGAAUAAGGAUCGGCUAACUCCGUGCCAGCAGCCGCGGUAAUACGGAGGAUCCGAGCGUUAUCCGGAAUCAUUGGGUUUAAAGGGUCCGUAGGCGGGCCAUUAAGUCAGGGGUGAAAGUCUGCGGCUCAACCGUAGAAUUGCCCUUGAUACUGGUGGUCUUGAGUUAUGGUGAAGUAACUAGAAUAUGUAGUGUAGCGGUGAAAUGCAUAGAUAUUACAUAGAAUACCGAUUGCGAAGGCAGGUUACUAACCAUAUACUGACGCUGAUGGACGAAAGCGUGGGGAGCGAACAGGAUUAGAUACCCUGGUAGUCCACGCCGUAAACGAUGGAUACUAGCUGUCCGGAUGCAAAUCUGGGCGGCCAAGCGAAAGUGAUAAGUAUCCCACCUGGGGAGUACGUCCGCAAGGAUGAAACUCAAAGGAAUUGACGGGGGCCCGCACAAGCGGUGGAGCAUGUGGUUUAAUUCGAUGAUACGCGAGGAACCUUACCAGGGCUUAAAUGUGGUCUGACAGCUUUAGAGAUAGAGCCUCCUUCGGGCAGAUCACAAGGUGCUGCAUGGUUGUCGUCAGCUCGUGCCGUGAGGUGUCAGGUUAAGUCCUAUAACGAGCGCAACCCCUGCCGUUAGUUGCCAGCAUGUAAAGAUGGGGACUCUAACGGGACUGCCGGUGCAAACCGCGAGGAAGGUGGGGAUGACGUCAAAUCAUCACGGCCCUUACGUCCUGGGCCACACACGUGCUACAAUGGCCGGUACAGAGAGCAGCCACUGGGCAACCAGGAGCGAAUCUAUAAAACCGGUCACAGUUCGGAUCGGGGUCUGCAACUCGACCCCGUGAAGCUGGAAUCGCUAGUAAUCGGAUAUCAGCCAUGAUCCGGUGAAUACGU
rnacentral:rRNA from 1 species